GAAGGUAUAGCCCAGUGGUAGAACACAUGCUUAGCAUGCAUGAGGUCGUGGGUUCAAUCCUCAGUACCUCCA
rnacentral:tRNA from 1 species